AUCCAGCUGACAAGUCUCAAAUAGGACGAAGUUGGCGUCCUGGAU
rnacentral:hammerhead_ribozyme from 1 species